rnacentral:lncRNA from 1 species
CAUAAUGCCCUCCCGCGUUCAAGAUGCCAGUUUUGGGGCGGAGAUUUCUAAAUUAAAGCCUACAUCCCGCGCGGGAAUAUCUGCUGGUAAUUUCUCGCCUGCCAGAAAACUCCUUUGAUCUCUGGCUGUGGAGACUCGGGACCCCUACCCAAGUAUGGGACACUGCCUCCGUUGGGGUUAUCUCAGAUCAAUGGAAUGGGAACAAGCUAUCCGGCCUGGGCGCCGUUCACGUCUCACAUCUGAGAUCGUAACACCGACUGUGCUUAGGACCUCAGCAAUAACUUUUUGCCGUCUCUGGCCCACUGACUCCUCUCAAAAUGUCCCCUGGUCCUUUUGCUAUUCACGUAUUUCUGUGGGCUUGAGAUUUGCUUAACUCCUAUAUUGGCAAAAGGCCACUUGAAAUCGCUAGCAGAUACUCGAUAACCUGAAAGGAUAUUGCCUGGGGACACCUGACAACAGAAAGUCUAAGGUUUUCAUCUAGGAUUGGGAGUUACCCCAACACCAGCAGGAUGCAGGAAAAAGUAACUGACCGGAUGGUUGCCUCAAUCUGUUGAUUCUUCAGUGAGUUAGCUCAGAUUUUGUCCAGGAACAGCUUUCAGAGCCAAAGAUUACGUAUUGAACUUUACCAAGGCAUCUGGUGACUAGAAAACUCCUGGAAGGUGGUCAUAGCAGAAAUUGUUGGGAAAGUUCUCAGCAUAAUAAAAGAGAAAUU